AUUGAACGCUGGCGGCAGGCCUAACACAUGCAAGUCGAGCGGAGCGGCGGACGGGUGAGUAAUGCCUAGGAAUCUGCCUGGCAGUGGGGGAUAACGUCCGGAAACGGGCGCUAAUACCGCAUACUAUCAGAUGAGCCUAGGUCUGAUUAGCUAGUUGGUGGUGUAAAGACGUACCAAGGCGACGAUCCGUAACUGGUCUGAGCGGAUGAUCAGUAAACCUGGAACUUAGACACGUGCCAGAUUCCUACGGGAGGCAGCAGUGGGUAAUAUUGUACAAUGGGCGCAAGCCUGAUCCAGCCAUGCCGCGUGUGUGAAGAAGGUCUUCGGAUUGUAAAGCACUUUAAGUUGGGAGGCGUUACCAGCAGAAUAAGCACCGGCUAACUUCGUGCCAGCAGCCGCGGUAAUAC
rnacentral:rRNA from 1 species